rnacentral:lncRNA from 1 species
UAUAGAAUUAUUAAAAAAAGAGACUAACACUAGGUGUGAUUUUACUACUAUUAACUCGCAAAAGGAACGAGAAUUGAACAUAAAAAAGAAAAUGAAAAAGGGGAUGGGAGCGGUAGCGGUAGCGGAACUAGAGACAGGAAUAGCGACAAAAACAGAUGCAGGAUCAGAACUAGAUGGAGAACCAGAUGCAAAAACAGAUGCAAGAUCAGAACCAGAUGGAGAACCAGAUGCAAAAACAGAUGCAGGAUCAGAACCAGAUGGAGAAACAUAUGCAAAAGCAGAUGCAAAAACAGAUGCAGGAUCAGAACCAGAUGGAGAACCAGAUGCAAAAUCAGAUGCAAAAUCAGAUGCAAAAUCAGAUGCAAAACCAGAACCAGAAAACAACAAUGUAUAUGAUUUAUAUAUUAAUUACAACAUAAUUAAAAUAGAAUUUUUGGAUAUGUUUACUAAAAAAAGAAGUAGUGGAAUAAUAACACCUACUCAUGAUGAUAAUACUGAUUAUAAUUAUUGUGAUAACAGGUACAGAAAUACAAAUAACACGUCGUCUAUGUUUAAAGAAAUAGACAAUGUCAGCUACACAAGUGGUCAAAUGGGGAUACAUACAACAAAUAUGAAAGAAAAAAACGAAACAAAAUUUGAAGAAAAAAAUAAAUAUGAUAACGAUUACAACGAUAACCAUAGUGAGCACAACAUGAAUGAUUCCUCCAGCGAUUUUAGCGAUGAUACUUAUGACAAAUUAAAUUAUUACAAUGUUAAAAUGCGUCUAACAAAAGUUGCUGAAGAUGGUAACAAAAGUACAAACAAAUUUGUUGAUACUAAUUUUGAAAAUAAAAAAAAAAACUUAUCCAAAUUAAUUACAAUUAUUUUUAAUAAAAAAGUUUUAAACAAUUUAAAUAAAAAAAAACAAAAUUACUAUACUAAUUGUUUAAGUAUUUAUUUUCAAGAGGAUAAAAUGAAAGAACUUUUAAAAGAGUAUACAAAUGAAAUAGCAAUGGAAAAAGAGCAAAAAAUUGAUAAAAAAAAAAGUAGCCAUAAUAAUAAUAAUAAUAAUAAGACUGUCGAUGCUAUUUUACGACAAGAUAUAUAUCAA